GAUGAAGAACGCAGCGAAAUGCGAUAAGUAAUGUGAAUUGCAGAAUUCAGUGAAUCAUCGAAUCUUUGAACGCACAUUGCGCCCCUUGGUAUUCCGGGGGGCAUGCCUGUUCGAGCGUCAUUAUCACCCCUCAAGCUCAGCUUGGUGUUGGGGCCUGCCUGUCACAGGGCAGCCCUUAAAAGCAGUGGCGGUGCCAUCUGGCUCUACGCGUAGUAAUACUUCUCGCUAUAGAGUCCCGGUGGAUGCUUGCCAUUAACCCCCAAUUUUCUAUGGUUGACCUCGGAUCAGGUAGGGAUACCCGCUGAACUUAAGCAUAUCAAUAAGCGGAGGA
rnacentral:misc_RNA from 1 species